rnacentral:misc_RNA from 1 species
GAUGAAGAACGCAGCGAAAUGCGAUAAGUAAUGUGAAUUGCAGAAUUCAGUGAAUCAUCGAAUCUUUGAACGCACAUUGCGCCCGCCAGUAUUCUGGCGGGCAUGCCUGUUCGAGCGUCAUUUCAACCAUCAAGCCCCCGGCUUGUGUUGGGGACCUGCGGCUGCCGCAGGCCCUGAAAAGCAGUGGCAGGCUCGCUGUCACACCGAGCGUAGUAGAUUUCAUCUCGCUCAGGGCGUGCUGCGGGUUCCGGCCGUUAAACCACCUUCAUAACCCAAGGUUGACCUCGGAUCAGGUAGGAAGACCCGCUGAACUUAAGCAUAUCAAUAAGCGGAGGA